rnacentral:rRNA from 1 species
GACAGAGGGGGCAAGCGUUGCUCGGAAUCACUGGGCGUAAAGGGCGCGUAGGCGGGAUGGCAAGUCGGUCGUGAAAUCCCUCGGCUCAACCAAGGAAGUGCUUUCGAAACUGCUGAGCUUGAGUACUUAAGAGGAUCGCGGAAUUCCCGGUGUAGAGGUGAAAUUCGUAGAUAUCGGGAGGAACACCAGUGGCGAAGGCGGCGAUCUGGGAAGAUACUGACGCUGAGGUGCGAAAGCGUGGGGAGCAAACAGG